GACGAACGCUGGCGGCGUGCCUAAUACAUGCAAGUAGAACGCACAGUUUAUACCGUAGCUUGCUACACCAUAGACUGUGAGUUGCGAACGGGUGAGUAGCGCGUAGGUAACCUGCCUGGUAGCGGGGGAUAACUAUUGGAAACGAUAGCUAAUACCGCAUAAUAUUGAUUAUUGCAUGAUAAUUGAUUGAAAGAUGCUAUUGCAUCACUACCAGAUGGACCUGCGUUGUAUUAGCUAGUAGGUGAGGUAACGGCUCACCUAGGCGACGAUACAUAGCCGACCUGAGAGGGUGAUCGGCCACACUGGGACUGAGACACGGCCCAGACUCCUACGGGAGGCAGCAGUAGGGAAUCUUCGGCAAUGGACGAAAGUCUGACCGAGCAACGCCGCGUGAGUGAAGAAGGUUUUCGGAUCGUAAAGCUCUGUUGUAAGAGAAGAACGGGUGUGAGAGUGGAAAGUUCACACUGUGACGGUAUCUUACCAGAAAGGGACGGCUAACUACGUG
rnacentral:rRNA from 1 species